GUUCUCCGAGGUCAUUCCUUCAGUGCCAUAUGACCCACUUGCUCUCAGGAAGGCUUUCGAAAAGGUCAGACAAGGCCAUUGCCUGAAACUCAAAAAUAACAAUUUUAAGAUCCACCAUGGUCUAACUGUGUAGUCUUCUUUCAGGCUGUCAUCAAGAGGCUUAUGACGGACGUUCCAUUCGGUGUUCUACUCUCUGGUGGCCUUGACUCAUCAUUGGUUGCAGCCGUUACAGUUCGUCACCUGGCAGGAACAAAGGCUGCAAAGCGCUGGGGGACUAAGCUUCACUCUUUUUGUGUCGGACUUGAGGUAUGGAACUGAAAAAGAUCAACAAUGACACUAACCUUUAGCAGAUUUCCAACAAAUUGCACCACAAUAUUAUUACGCAGGGGUCACCUGAUCUGAAGGCUGCAAAGGAGGUAGCCAAUUACCUGGGCACCAUGCACCAUGAGUUCACCUUCACUGUUCAGGUAGCAAGCAUGAACAGCAGCAUGCUUCAUCUGUUGACCAUACCAGACUAGUUGUUGUACUAAUAGCACAAAGCAAUGCAGGACGGCAUUGAUGCAAUUGAGGAUGUGAUUUAUCACACCGAAACAUAUGAUGUGACGACAAUCAGGGCAAGCACGCCAAUGUUCCUGAUGUCACGCAAGAUCAAGUCACUUGGGGUCAAGAUGGUCAUCUCUGGUGAGGGUUCCGAUGAGAUUUUCGGAGGGUACCUCUACUUCCACAAGGCACCCAACAAAGAGGAGCUCCACCGUGAGACAUGUCAAAAGGUGAAUAGGAAAGAAAUUUUCAGAAAAAUGGCAGAUUCAGACACCCUGACAUAAUGAUUACACUGUAGAUCAAAGCUCUGCAUCAGUACGAUUGCUUGAGGGCCAACAAGGCAACAUCUGCAUGGGGCCUCGAAGCACGUGUGCCAUUCUUGGACAAGGAGUUUAUCAAUGAGGCAAUGAGCAUUGAUCCUGAGUGGAAGAUGGUAUGCUCAAGCUCAAACCUUACAAAUCUAGAAACUAGAGAAAGAGCAUACCAUAUUGUUGUAAAAUGUCUUCCUAGUUUCUACUUUUAGACAAUUACUAUAUCUGAUGUUACAGAUCCGGCCUGAUCUUGGAAGAAUUGAGAAAUGGAUGCUGAGGAAAGCAUUUGAUGACGAGGAGCAACCAUUCCUGCCGAAGGUAACAGUUUUUAUUUCAAAUUUCUGCUACAUCAAUAUGUUAAUAGAGCAGUGGAGUUAACAGUUCCUAUUGUGUGGCAAUUGCAGCACAUUCUGUACAGGCAGAAAGAGCAGUUCAGUGAUGGUGUUGGCUACAGCUGGAUUGAUGGCCUAAAGGCUCACGCAGAAUCAAAUGUAAAAACAUUGCUGCCUCUCAUGUUCAACACAUCACUGUUAUGCAUAAAAUUGUAGUAAAAAAUCAGUUAUUUGUAAAAUGGUAUAAUUACACGAGAUGUAAAAUUAUUAAUGCAGGUGACAGAUAAGAUGAUGUCAAAUGCAAAGUUCAUCUACCCACACAACACCCCGACUACAAAAGAGGCCUACUGUUACAGGAUGAUAUUUGAGAGGUUCUUCCCCCAGGUGAGCAAAUAAAACAGCAAGAACAUGAAACAGAAAACUCACUUUUCCAUAGAAAUAACUAUGUUGAUGCAAGCAUAUCUGUUGCUCUUGUACCAGAACUCGGCGAUCCUGACGGUGCCAGGUGGGCCAAGCGUUGCAUGC
rnacentral:lncRNA from 1 species